AGCAGCUCCAGGCGAGCCGCUGGGAGUUAAGGAAAAGUUUGCGGUAGGGUUGACACCUGUUGUUUUUUGGGGUGGGCCACGGGUCACCACGAGUGCAAUCCUGGGUGCACGACUCGCCCCAAACUGAUCGCUCGCCUCCGCCACCAACCUGGAUUCUUGGGUGCGACCCCUCUCCCCAGAGUGUGCGCACACACUCACGCUCCUGAUGGCCUUGGUAGUGAGUUUCUUAAGGAUAGAUGCUGUGAAAGUACUGCACUCAAUAUGGCCAGCAAAUUUGGAAAACUCAGCAGUGGCCACAGGACUGGAAAAGGUCAGUUUUCAUUCUGAUCCCAAAGAAAGGCAAUGCCAAAGAAAGUUCAAACUACCACACAGUUGUGCUCAUCUCACACUCUAGCAAAGUAAUGCUCAAAAUUCUCCAAGCGAGGCUUCAACAGUAUGUGAACUGUGACCUUCCAGAUGUUCAAGCUGGAUUUAGAAAAGGCAGAGGAACUAGAAGUCAAAUUGCCAACAUCCGAUGGAUCAUUGAUAAAGCAAGAGAGUUCCAGAAAAACAUCUAUUUCUGUUUUAUUGACUUCACUAAAGCCUUUGACUGUGUGGAUCACAACAAACUGUGGAAAAUUCUUCAAGAGAUGAGAAUACCAGACCACCUUACCUGCCUCCUGAGAAGUCUGUAUGCAGGUCAGGAAGCAACAGUUAGAACUGGACAUGGAACAACAGACUGUUUCCAAAGAGGAAAAGGAGUAUGUCAAGGCUGUAUAUUGUCACCCUGCUUAUUUAACUUAUAUGCAGAGUACAUCAUGAGAAACGCUGGGCUGGAUGAAGCAUGAGCUGGAAACAAGGUUGCCAGGAGAAAUAUCAAUAGCCUCAGAUAUGCAGAUGACAUCACCCUUAUGGCAGAAAGCAAAGAACUAAAGAGCCUCUUGAUGAAAGUGAAAGAGGAGAGUGAGAAAGUUGGCUUAAAGCUCAACAUUCAGAAAUCUAAGAUCCUGGCACCUGGUCCCAUCACUUCAUGGCAAAUAGAUGGGGAAACAGUGAAAACAGUGGCAGACUUUAAUUUUGGGGAGCUCCAAAAUCACUGCAGAUGGUGACUGUGGCCAUGAAAUUAAAAGAUAGUUGCUCCUUGGAAGAAAAGUUAUGACCAAUCUAGACAGCAUAUUAAAAACCAGAGACAUUACUUUGCCAACAAUUGUCUGUCUAGUCAAAGCUAUGGUUUUUCCAGUGGUCAUAUAUGGAUGUGAGAGUUGGACUAUAAAGAAAGCUGUGCACUGAAGACUGAUGCUUUUGAACUGUGGUGUUGGAGAAGACUCUUGAGAGUCCCUUGGACUGCAAGGAGAUCCAACCAGUCAUCCUAAAGGAAAUCAGUCCUGAAUAUUCAUUGGAAGGACUGAUGCUGAAGCUAAAACUCCAAUACUCUAAUACUUUGGUCACCUGAUGUGAAGAAGUGACUCAUUGGAAAAGACCCUGAUGCUGGGAAAGAUUGAAGACAGGAGGAGAAGGGAAUGACAGAAGAUGAGAUGGUUGGAUGGCAUCACCGACUCAAUGGACAUGAGUUUGAGUAAACUCUGGGUGUUGGUGAUGGACAAGGAGGUCUGGCGUGCUGCAGUCCAUGGGGUAGCAAGGAGUCAGAUACGACUUAGCGACUGAACUGAACUAAGGAUAGAGACUGUAUCUUCCUCAAUUUUGUUUCACCAAACUAUGUGGUUAUACAAUGUCUGGGAAGUAGUAAGUGUUCAGUAAUCCUGAGUUUUCGGUAACACCUAGGACAUGAGAGAAGAAAACCUGGAUGGUGCAGAGAAGUUCAGACAACAUGAAAAGAAGAAGCAAGACUAGAGAAGACAGAUAAGCCCAAUAAUCCAAACACCCCAAGAAUUGAUGGUUGACCUGAUUGGUUGUGUCAAUCGAAACAAUUGAUUAUUUUGUCUUUAAAACAGAUUUCCCAGCCUUUCCAAAUUUGCGAUUUUUGGCAGUUGAAUUAUUAGCAAACUUUACUACCAUCACCUAAAAUCACAAGGAUUCCUUCUUCUUCUGUGUUCCAUGCUGACCUGUGUUCUUUUAAGUUAGGAUGUAGGAUUAAUGGUUAGAGCACUUUUUAAUCAGUCAUUAGUUUUUCUAAAGGCAGGUGGAGAUGUGGGCUUUUUAAAUUGGCAUCAUUUUGGUAAAAUGUUCAUUUUCUUAGUCUCUACUUAGAUUGUCUGUAUAGUGAUUUUGUAUUUGACUAAGCACCUUUAUAGAAAAUAAGAUAGGUGUUUUCCUUCAGGGUGUAAAUUUGCUGAAGUAUGAUAAGCUGUUACUUCAUCUUUUCCCUUAAAAAUCUCUUUUUUUUCUUGUUUCUAGUCAAGCAUUUAUUAAAUCAUUAGGAGAAAAAUUUAGGUCAUCUUUUUAAUGUGCAUUGACCUAGUUACAUUUUCUUUCUAAGCAGCUGUUUAAACUAGAUUUAUUGAGGAAAAUGGCUGGUUCAGUCUUGCAUUAAGUCAGAUAACACAGAAAAAUAAGGAAGAUUUGCAAAGUCCAAGUAAGCUAUGUGGCCCCUUUCUCCCCUUUGCUGUCUUUGAUUCUGCCCCUUUCCCUUAGAUACCAAGGUCUUAUUGGCUGUAUAUGAUUAACUGUUUCAUGUAGAUGGUCCCAUCAAGCAGUGUCUUCCUUUGAAAGCCUCUUAAUUCAUAUUAAAUGGUGAUGAUUCUAGAAUCAUCAUGUUGCUUGGAUCCUUCCCCAAAUUAAAGGACACAUUCACAAAGAGCUGUUUUAUGAAUAAUGAACAUAAACAACAGCCACACACAUUGCUCACUGGACAGUUUGAAAUUGCAUGUUUAAUGCCCUCAGUUGUUUCCUUGAGAGCUGUGUCUUCAGAAACAGAAAAUAGGAUCCUAGAGUGAGUUCAUUCUUAAUAAAUGAAAAUUCUGUAUUCCCUUUAUUUGACAGAAGAUUUCCUUUUGCUUUCACAUUAAUCACAGACUUCUAGAUGAUUAUGUAUGGAAUUCUCCAAAUUUUUUAGAAUAAUCCUGUUAGAAGUCUAAUGGGUCACAGAAUGUCUCUGUUCUAGAUGGAGUAGUUUUGAUGGAAUAUAAGCAAAUGGUCCCCUAUUCUAGUGCCAGCCUUACUGCAAAAUUAUGCCUGAAAUAUACAGAGAUUUUAGGAAAAUUUGACUUCAUUAACUAUCUUCCACUGUUUUUGUUUUUAUCCAGUUAAUUUGAAUUUCAGGGAACACUCAGCUGAAUAAAACAUUUCAUGUAAAUUUUGUUUGAUCUGGUUUACAUUUUUACUUCUAAUGAGGCACCGAUUCUUAAAGCAGCCAACUGGCACUAAUAAUCCAGCAGAAAGGCGAUGCUCCCUAAUACAGUCAACCCUCCCUGUUCUAGGGGAUUAUGCACUCCAAUAGCCUACUUUACUGUUUGUUAAAUAAACCUAUCUCCCUUAGUUAUGCAGUCUUUGAAAAUGGUUCUGAUUUUCUGUCAGUGCCUUGGGAGUGUAGAGCGGGGCUUGGAGGAAAGGCUUAAGAAUCUCCUGCCUUUCCUCUUUUAUGAAACAAAUUUGCUUUCUUCUCUCAGUGGCUGUGCUUUCCUCUGUCAUCCUGGUCCUAUUUCACCUCUCUGCCAUGAAUAGACCUGUGGUUUCUCUCUCUCUACGUUUUAAUCUUGCCGCUCUACCCCUGGAAAAGCCACAGUCCUCAUGCCUACCCUGGGAAAUCGUACUCAUGAACUUCAAGGCUCAGCUUGAGUGCCAUCUUCUGCUUGAGCCCUUUCCCAAACACCUCAGUCUCUUUCUCCCUCUGCAC
ensembl:lncRNA